rnacentral:rRNA from 1 species
UGGGGAAUUUUGGACAAUGGGCGAAAGCCUGAUCCAGCAAUGCCGCGUGUGUGAAGAAGGCCUUCGGGUUGUAAAGCACUUUUGUCCGGAAAGAAAUCCUUGGCUCUAAUACAGUCGGGGGAUGACGGUACCGGAAGAAUAAGCACCGGCUAACUACGUGCCAGCAGCCGCGGUAAUACGUAGGGUGCAAGCGUUAAUCGGAAUUACUGGGCGUAAAGCGUGCGCAGGCGGUUUGCUAAGACCGAUGUGAAAUCCCCGGGCUCAACCUGGGAACUGCAUUGGUGACUGGCAGGCUAGAGUAUGGCAGAAGGGGGGUAGAAUUCCACGUGUAGCAGUGAAAUGCGUAGAGAUGUGGAGGAAUACCGAUGGCGAAGGCAGCCCCCUGGGCCAAUACUGACGCUCAUGCACGAAAGCGUGGGGAGCAAACAGGAUUAGAUACCCUGGUAGUCCACGCCCUAAACGAUGUCAACUAGUUGUUGGGGAUUCAUUUCCUUAGUAACGUAGCUAACGCGUGAAGUUGACCGCCUGGGGAGUACGGUCGCAAGAUUAAAACUUAAAGGAAUUGACGGGGUCAUAGCUG